rnacentral:rRNA from 1 species
UGUUCUUUAAAUAGGGACUUGUAUCAACGGCACCACGAGGGCUACACUGUCUCCCCUCUCCAAUCAGUGAAACUGAUCUCCCCGUGAAGAAGCGGGGAUUUACCUAUAAGACGAGAAGACCCCAUGGAGCUUUAAACCCAACGUACACUCACACGACCCACACACCAAUUUAACCUCAAAGAUCUGUACGUCGGUUUUAGGCUGGGGGGGCCACGGAGUAAAAUUAAACCUCCACAACGAACGGGCUAAUACCCUUAUCCGCGAUUUACUAAUCUAAGAACCACAAAACUGAUGUUUAAUGACCCGAUAAUUCGAUCAAUGAACCAAGUUACCCUGGGGAUAACAGCGCAAUCUACUUCAAGAGUCCCUAUCGACAAGUGGGUUUACGACCUCGAUGUUGGAUCAGGGUAUCCCAGUGGUGCAACCGCUA